UACAGAGGUCUCAAGCGUUGUUCGGAAUCACUGGGUUUAAAGGGUGCGUAGGUGGGUCUGUAAGUCAGUGGUGAAAUCUCCGAGCUUAACUCGGAAACUGCCAUUGAUACUAUAGGUCUUGAAUUAUCUGGAGGUAAGCGGAAUAUGUCAUGUAGCGGUGAAAUGCUUAGAUAUGACAUAGAACACCAAUUGCGAAGGCAGCUUACUACGGAUCGAUUGACACUGAGGCACGAAAGCGUGGGGAUCAAACAGG
rnacentral:rRNA from 1 species